rnacentral:rRNA from 1 species
AUUGAACGCUGGCGGCAUGCCUUACACAUGCAAGUCGAACGGUAGCGGGCCUUCGGGUGCCGACGAGUGGCGAACGGGUGAGUAAUGUAUCGGAACGUACCUUUCAGUGGGGGAUAACGUAGCGAAAGUUGCGCUAAUACCGCAUAUUCUGUGAGCAGGAAAGCAGGGGAUCGCAAGACCGUGUGCUGAUUGAGCGGCCGAUAUCAGAUUAGCUAGUUGGUGAGGUAAAGGCUCACCAAGGCGACGAUCUGUAGCGGGUCUGAGAGGAUGAUCCGCCACACUGGAACUGAGACACGGUCCAGACUCCUACGGGAGGCAGCAGUGGGGAAUUUUGGACAAUGGGGGCAACCCUGAUCCAGCCAUGCCGCGUGAGUGAAGAAGGCCUUCGGGUUGUAAAGCUCUUUCGGCCGGGAAGAAAUCGUAUCAGCUAAUACCUGGUGCGGAUGACGGUACCGGCAUAAGAAGCACCGGCUAACUACGUGCCAGCAGCCGCCGUAACAC